AGGAGAAGAUGAAGGGAUAGAUCAAGCUUGCGAUCGAUGUAAUAGAUUACUCGAACAAGGACCUAAGCUUGGAUUCUUAGGUGAUGUGUUGUUGCAUACAUUCUAUUUUUCACUAACCAAAAAUAUUGUGAGUUCAUCCAAAUGUGUGCAGGAGGAAACCUUAUGGAGAAAACACUCAGGGAGGCUGCUCAACUCUUACAGAAGAUCAUCUGAGGAGCAGCCGUUAAUAGAGAAUGGGAUAAUUAUCAAUCUGGAGAAAAGGGAGGAACACAAGGACAAAUACUUGUUGGAAUUUUCAGAAAAGAACUCCAAGAGGAGGCAAAAGAAGAACCUAGGGUGCAAAAAGAUGAAGAACCUGCGCACAAGAUGGAAGAAACAACCCCAAGCAUUGAGAGUGCUAAACUAGAAACAUCAUAAGCUCGGAGUCUGGCAAACGCGAAGCCCUUAAGCGUGUUUGAACAAAUGGAUUGGGUUUGAUAACAAUAGAUCAUAUCCAAAUAAAAAAGGGUCGACCAGAACUGUUGAGACAGAUUUUCCACCAGAGGGAAACACUGGGUAUGUGCUCGACAAGGAGACAGCUGGGGAGAUAAUUCAAAAACUCUUGAUUGAAGAAGAAGUAGACCCAGACUACAUUACUGAAGUGAAAAGAAUCAUGGGAGUAAAGCUAGAGGCAUCGCCAUUUGCUAGUUUGAGGAAGGUAUACGCAAUUGGAGCUAAUCACAAU
rnacentral:lncRNA from 1 species